ACAGUACUGCACGCACACAUGCACACAUGCAAUCCAAUUUUUCUUUCUUUUCCAGAACCCAGGAUGGAGCUUCUGGCUGGCAGGCCUAGGGAGUAGGACCAGGCUGGGAGUCAGCACCAUGCAGCUGAAGUUCAGCAGCCUUCUGGCCCUGGCGACUGGGGCAGGGGAAGGCCCUGGGCCCUGGCCCUGAACUGCUCUCCACCCUGGCUGGCACAGGACACCCACUGGGACAGGACACCAGCCCCUCCGUGGUCAACAUAAGACCCCCAAGAGAGGAGUGAGCUUGUCUUUUCCCCAGGCCAACCUCCAGACCCAGACCACACAGCCUUUCCCGGAGGUUACCAAGGAGGCCUGUGACAAGUGGGAAACAGGGACAACAGCCAGGCAGGGGAGCUGCUGAGGAUGGGCCGGUGGAGGUGGCCAUGGUCGCUCUCUCCUGCCAAGCCCUUCAGUAGGAAUCUGUGCUCUGCACCCCAGGUGUCCCAGAUCCGGGUGAUUCCCUGAGCUCCAUGGUGGUGCUGACAGCCAGGGACCAGAAAGAACUGUCCCAUCUCAGCUCUGCUGGAAGAUGAGUGCCACACACUGAGGAAGAGUGCAGGGACUGCAGCGCCUCCCCAGCAACUCGGACACCCUUAUAGACACCAGGUACCCAGUCAUCUAGAGCAGCUAGGGGCUCCUGCCCUGACCCCGCCCCAAGGAAUCGAGGUGAUUAAUGGAUGGUCGAGGCAGCCCCUUAGGCAGCUUAUGCCUGCCCUGUAGAGCAUCCCUGCGGGGGACUCUGACCAGCUUGAGCCAUGUGGAUCCUGAGAGCACUCCCGGGUAGGCAUUU